rnacentral:tRNA from 1 species
CGCUGGGUGGAGCAGUUGGCAGCUCGUCGGGCUCAUAACCCGAAGGUCGUAGGUUCAAGUCCUGCCUCCGCAACCA